CUAGAUCAGUAGGCCUUGACCCUACGAAAACUUAAUUAACAACUAAUUGCCCAAACCAGCGGACUUUGACCUA
rnacentral:tRNA from 1 species